UCCCCACAGAAGAACAGAACACUGGUAGGAAGGAGGAAAACUGCUGCCCGUACACUUGCCAAUAAUGCUCAGCAAGGUGGACUCUUAGACCAGCCAACUGACUUAUAAGACCUGGACUUCAGGUGCUCAAGGUGAGCACAAGAGCACCUUCCUUGGGAUGAACAUGCUUGCAGAAAGCCUGAUGCCAGAGGUAUCCCAAGCUAUACAAGGAAGGCAGUUAAAAGGCAAAGACAUUGGAACGACAAAACUUAAGAAAUGUUGCUCUAAACAUGUUGGGAAAGG